rnacentral:rRNA from 1 species
AGCGAACGCUGGCGGCAGGCUUAACACAUGCAAGUCGAGCGCCCCGCAAGGGGAGCGGCAGACGGGAGAGUAACACGUGGGAACGUACCUUUCAGUACGGAACAACCAAGGGAAACUUUGGCUAAUACCGUAUACGCCCGUAAGGGGAAAGAUUUAUCGCUGAAAGAUCGGCCCGCGUCUGAUUAGCUAGUUGGUGGGGUAAUGGCCCACCAAGGCGACGAUCAGUAGCUGGUCUGAGAGGAUGAUCAGCCUCACUGGGACUGAGACACGGCCCAGACUCCUACGGGAGGCAGCAGUGGGGAAUAUUGGACAAUGGGGGAAACCCUGAUCCAGCCAUGCCGCGUGAGUGAUGAAGGCCUUAGGGUUGUAAAGCUCUUUCGUCAGGGAAGAUAAUGACGGUACCUGAAGAAGAAGCCCCGGCUAACUUCGUGCCAGCCGCCGCGGUAAUAC